CCGCUCUAACAAAGGCUGUACCUUGGCUAUAGCCCCGCUCUAAGCAAGGCUACACCUUGGCUAUAGCCCAGCUUUAAGUAAGGCUGUGCCUUGGCUAUAGCCCCGCUCUAAGCAAGGUUGUGCCUUGGAUAUAACCCCACUCUAAUCAAGGUUGCACCUUGGCUAUAGACCCACUCUAAAUAGGGUGGUGCCUCAAUAUCACCUUGAGCUACUGGAAUUUGCUCUCCGACUUUUGGUUAGGAGUCCCACUUGAUCC
rnacentral:lncRNA from 1 species